UAGGGAAUCUUCGGCAAUGGGGGGAACCCUGACCGAGCAACGCCGCGUGAGUGAAGAAGGUUUUCGGAUCGUAAAGCUCUGUUGUUAAGGAAGAACGAGUGUGAGAAUGGAAAGUUCAUGCUGUGACGGUACUUAACCAGAAAGGGACGGCUAACUACGUGCCAGCAGCCGCGGUAAUACGUAGGUCCCGAGCGUUGUCCGGAUUUAUUGGGCGUAAAGCGAGCGCAGGCGGUUAGAAAAGUCUGAAGUGAAAGGCAGUGGCUCAACCAUUGUAGGCUUUGGAAACUGUUUAACUUGAGUGCAGAAGGGGAGAGUGGAAUUCCAUGUGUAGCAGUGAAAUGCGUAGAUAUAUGGAGGAACACCGGUGGCGAAAGCGGCUCUCUGGUCUGUAACUGACGCUGAGGCUCGAAAGCGUGGGGAGCAAACAGG
rnacentral:rRNA from 1 species